GACGAACUCUGGCGGCGUGCUUAACACAUGCAAGUCGAACGGAAAGGCCCUGCUAUUGUGGGGUGCUCGAGUGGCGAACGGGUGAGUAACACGUGCGUAACCUGCCCUUGACUUUGGGAUAACUUCAGGAAACUGGGGCUAAUACCGGAUAGGAGCUCCUGCUGCAUGGUGGGGGUUGGAAAGUUUCGGCGGUUGGGGAUGGACUCGCGGCUUAUCAGCUUGUUGGUGGGGUAGUGGCUUACCAAGGCUUUGACGGGUAGCCGGCCUGAGAGGGUGACCGGCCACAUUGGGACUGAGAUACGGCCCAGACUCCUACGGGAGGCAGCAGUGGGGAAUAUUGCACAAUGGGCGGAAGCCUGAUGCAGCAACGCCGCGUGCGGGAUGACGGCCUUCGGGUUGUAAACCGCUUUCGCCUGUGACGAAGCGUGAGUGACGGUAAUGGGUAAAGAAGCACCGGCUAACUACGUG
rnacentral:rRNA from 1 species